rnacentral:misc_RNA from 1 species
AACGCACAUUGCGCCCGCCAGUAUUCUGGCGGGCAUGCCUGUCCGAGCGUCAUUUCAACCAUCAAGCCCCCGGGCUUGUGUUGGGGACCUGCGGCUGCCCGCAGGCCCUGAAAACCAGUGGCGGGCUCGCUGUCACACCGAGCGUAGUAGCAUCAUCUCGCUCAGGGCGUGCUGCGGGUUCCGGCCGUUAAAAGCCUCCAAUACCCAAGGUUGACCUCGGAUCAGGUAGGAAGACCCGCUGAACUUAA